rnacentral:rRNA from 1 species
GAUGAACGCUGACAGAAUGCUUAACACAUGCAAGUCAACUUGAAUUUGGGUUUUUAACUUAAGUUUGGGUGGCGGACGGGUGAGUAACGCGUAAAGAACUUGCCUCACAGCCAGGGACAACAUUUGGAAACGAAUGCUAAUGCCUAAUAUUAUGAUAAUAGGGCAUCCUAUAAUUAUGAAAGCUAUAAGCGCUGUGAGAGAGCUUGCGUCCCAUUAGCUAGUUGGAGAGGUAACGGCUCACCAAGGCGAUGAUGGGUAGCCGACCUGAGAGGGUGAUCGGCCACAAGGGGACUGAGACACGGCCCUUACUCCUACGGGAGGCAGCAGUGGGGAAUAUUGGACAAUGGACCAAGAGUCUGAUCCAGCAAUUCUGUGUGCACGAUGAAGUUUUUCGGAAUGUAAAGUGCUUUCAGUUGGGAAGAAAGAAAUGACGGUACCAACAGAAGAAGUGACGGCUAAAUACGUGCCAGCAGCCGCGGUAAUACGUAUGUCACGAGCGUUAUCCGGAUUUAUUGGGCGUAAAGCGCGUCUAGGUGGUUAUGUAAGUCUGAUGUGAAAAUGCAGGGCUCAACUCUGUAUUGCGUUGGAAACUGUAUAACUAGAGUACUGGAGAGGUAAGCGGAACUACAAGUGUAGAGGUGAAAUUCGUAGAUAUUUGUAGGAAUGCCGAUGGGGAAGCCAGCUUACUGGACAGAUACUGACGCUGAAGCGCGAAAGCGUGGGUAGCAAACAGG